ACGACACGGCGACACCCUUCCCUGUCCUCUGCUCGGCUCUCCCGGUCGCUCGACCAGAUCGACGCAAGUUUGCAACGGCCGUUCCUCCCGAUCGACGCAUCGCAUUUCCCCACCCCGCACAGCCACAGACACUACCUUAUCCGACCGACCAAAGUAUGCAGCGCGCUCGGAUGAGUUUAUUACCAUUGGUGAACUCUUUGACUUGUCUCUCCACGUACACAACGGGCUCGGAUGAUUGGACGAAGGAUCACCAUAGCUGUAACAUCUCGCUGCUAUCCGUUCCGGGUUUCCUCCUGCUGCUUAUUACAAUCUCACCAUGCAAGCCCGUGGUCGCAGGAGGAUCACCUGGCUGGUCGACGCGCCGCCGUGUUGCCGUUAUCCGCGAAAAGGCUACUAGGCUUUGAGCACCAAACCACGUAGAUAUCCUUGGUUAAUGCGUACGCAAGGAUUCCAUGCGUAUCAUCUCCUAUCUAUAGCUGACAUCAUCAGGUACUUCCUCCGUUCCAAAACAAUUCAUAUAAAUUUUUCUCAUUUGUUUCAUAACACAACUCAUUUUUCUCUUGGUACCCGCACCCGGCCAAUAACUACUCACGUUCAUUUACUUUUAAUCCAACUAGCAAGGUGUCCCGGGAAACGUCUUUAUAAUUUUUAAGUUUUUGGGACACAUACUUAUUGAUAUAUUAUUUUAAAAACACUAAAUAAUGAUAUAUCUAUGUCAAUCAUGUGUGAGGUAAUUAUAGGUCAAUUAGUUCUUUGUAAGAAUUGACAUAGACAUUGCAGUAAUACAUUCGAAUAAAGUUUAAAUUAUGAGCACGAUUGGUUGUUAUAAUUGGAAAAUUAAUCAACGCAAGUACAUUUAGAAAAGUAGAAUUAACCAACUUGACUACACCUAGAAGUAUGGAAGCAUAUCAUGUUAUGUUUUAAAUAUGAAACAAUAUUGUAUUUCUAUGUGAUUUUAGCUUGUAUCGAUUGUUCGACUCCUCACGUUUGCAUUAGACUUAUCCAUGCAGUUUGGCGAACUUUUCACCAUAUGUAUUUGACACGACAUCAUGCCUAAGGUCGCCAUAACUCGUCAAUAAAAAAAGGUUUCUAUCUCCUAAAACCGUAGCCACCUCUGUUUCGAAAAAAAAACAUUCAUUCCGCUAGACUGCUCGCUGCUGGCACUAUGAAGGACCCUCCAUCGCCUGCCGAAGAGGGGUGCGACUCCGACCUGCGUUGAGGGGUGGUAGUUAGGUUUCUUACAGUUAGAUUUGGUUCCUCGGCUGUGUUGGUUUGGUGGUAGGACUCGGGGUGGCAGUGGGUUAGGUUUGAUUCCUUGGCUGCGUCGCUAUGGUGGAUAUAGCGGCACCAUGUUGUUUAAGAAUAAGAUUUCCCCCACUACUAAUCCACCUCACCAGGCACGAACUCGUUGGCGGCAACUCUUAUGGAGUAGUUGAUUUGGUCUAUCUUCGUGUUUUGUGGAUGCUUUUCUUGUCUGUGCAGUUUCUCUGAUCGGCGAGGUUGAACCAACUUUGGCUUCGUCUCGGAGCUAGUAAGGUUAGGUCUCGACAUAUCUGUUUGGCUGAAUCUACCAUAGUCAUCAGCCCUCGACGUCGCCUUUCUCCGGGACCGAGCCGACGGUCUGCUUCUUAGGUUACUAUUGCAGGCAUCUUCUGGCUCAGACCGGUUACUUCGCGGCUGCCACGUCAAAAAAGUUGAGUUGUGCAAUUGUUUUUGUUUAAUUGAACAUAGUAUUGUAAAAGUUGGUUGCUUUAAUAUAUGACAUUUGCCUUUCACCAAAAAAA